rnacentral:sRNA from 1 species
GUGUGUUGAGUGCUGCGGCUGAAACAAAUCAAGUUAAAAGCCCAUUCGUUCACAUUGGCAUUGUGUUGGAUUGGAAAAUUUCGAAAGAUGCCAUUCACCAUCCUCAUGCAUGCUUUCAAAAAGGAAGCUACAGACAAAAGACCUAUUUUCUAUGUAUUGUAAAACCUAAUGGAAGUUGUCUUUGUCUAGUUUUUUUAUGAUUAAAACAUGCAAUAAAAAAUGGGUUGACAUAGGCCUUAAAAAAUAGUCAAUGUUGCAGCUGGGGCACUUAUAAUGCCACCUUUGAGCUCUGGAAAAGGUCAAUAUUACUUAUUGUGGCCCCAUAGAGUGAAGUGAUUUUGAAUAUGUUUAUACUUGAGAGAUUAACCACUGUCUUAUACUAGUAGUUGUCUCUCUGCAUAAGCUUCUUAUAUUGUCAUGGUAAUAAAUGUAAGUUGUAAAGAUUAUGUCAACAUCGCCUAAUCAAAACUAUUAGUAUUUGGAAAUAAGUCAGGUAUUCUUUAUCUAUUUAAAUAUCAUCUUAAAUAUAUAUCUUAUUGCAGGGCCGUCCUGCUUACUGAUAAAAUAAAUGUUGAAAAAUUUGUAUACACAUACUUUUAAAGCUUAUGUUUACGCUGCAUUAUUUUUUUUGUAAGAAAAAAACCCACUAAAUAAUAGAAUUUGUAAUUAUAAUUUUAUUAAAAAUACUGACAGUACCGGUAUUAUACAGAUAAACUCAACUAGUACAAGUAUUAAAUUAAAUACCUUGCAUAUGUAUAUUCUUUUUGUUGCAAAGAAAAUUUUGUAACAAACUUAUUUAAAUCAUUUUGUGAACAUUUUUAAAAAUAUAUUUGUACUUUAUUUAUUUAUAAUCAUUUACUUUUCUUUAAUGUGUAUUUCUGCAUCAUUGAAAAAAAAUGUAUUAUUUUUUUUCGUAGUACUGUAUCAGUUUAAAUUUACAUAAAUAACAUUUGUUAUUUUUCUAUUGUAAAAAUAUUUUUUUAAUGUACAGCCAUUGCAAUGAACUAUUUUUUUAAAUAUGGUAUAUAAUUACAAUUAUACUAUUUGUAGAGAAAUAAAUGUGAUGGUAUUUUCAU